GAUUAACGCUGGCGGCGUGCAUAACACAUGCAAGUCGAACGAUGAAACUCAUUAGAUUUCUUCGGAAUGAAAAUGAAUGGAUUAGUGGCGAACGGGUGAGUAACGCGUGAGUAACCUGCCUUACACAAGGGGAUAGCCUCUGGAAACGGAGAAUAAUACCCUAUGAAACCAGACAAUCGCAUGAUAAUCUGGUCAAAAUGUUUAGUGGUGUAAGAUGGACUUGCGUCUGAUUAGCUAGUUGGUGAGAUAAAAGCUCACCAAGGCAACGAUCAGUAGCCGGCUGGAGAGAGUGUACGGCCACAUUGGGACUGAGACACGGCCCAGACUCCUACGGGAGGCAGCAGUGGGGAAUUUUGCACAAUGGGGGAAACCCUGAUGCAGCGACGCCGCGUGAUUUAGAAGGCCUUCGGGUUGUAAAAAUCUUUUGUAUAGGAAGAAAAUGACAGUACUAUACGAAUAAGGUCCGGCUAAUUACGUG
rnacentral:rRNA from 1 species